rnacentral:ncRNA from 1 species
GCUGCUCCUUGGAGUCGGGUUGCUGGAAAGUGCAGCCUAAAGUGGGUGAUAAACUUCAUCUAAGGCUAAAUAUCGACUCGAUUGCGAUAGCGAACAAGUACCGUGAGGGAAAGUUGCAAAGGACUUUGAAGAGAGAGUUCAAGAGAACGUGAAAUCGUUGGAGUGGAACCGGAGACAGUUGAUGUUGCUUGGAGACAAGUUUGGUGACUGGUCGCAUAGUUGUGAUCGAUGCCGGAUGUCGUUUCCUAUGCUACGCCGACGGCGUUGGCUGCUCGUUCUGGCCCGAUAAUGUUGCCCAGCUCGCAAGAGUCGGUGUCUUGUUGUCGGUAGUUGGUUCGUGGCGGCUAGCGUUUAGUUACGCUAGUGUGUGUGACGUCGGUGUGAAAGUCGACGACGUUUCCGACCCGUCUUGAAACACGGAUUGCGGAGUGCUUGUCUACUGGGAGUCAAAGGCUGUUAAAACCUUGCGGCGAAAUGAAAGUGAAGGUCAGUCUUGAAUUGGCCGACGUGGGAUUUGCGCUCUUCGGAGUGUCCCGCACCACGGCCCUAUGAGUGUCAUUUGUGACUGUGUAGAGGUUGAGCAAUUGGCAAACGACCCGAAAGAUGGUGAAAUAGGCUUGAGCAGGAAGAAGCCAGAAGAAACUAUGGUGGAACUCCGUAUCUCCUAAAAUCUGCAAAUCGAUCGAUAGAGAAUCAGCGCGGGGCGAAAGAUUAAUCAAACCAUCUAGUAGCUGGUUCCUUCGCAAGUUUCCCUCAGGACGAAAAGUACCGGGCACACUCCAGGGAUAAGGUAGUUUUCGUGGUGGGACCCAACAUGCACGGAAU